rnacentral:rRNA from 1 species
AUUGAACGCUGGCGGCAUGCCUUACACAUGCAAGUCGAACGGCAGCACGGGUGCUUGCACCUGGUGGCGAGUGGCGAACGGGUGAGUAAUAUAUCGGAACGUACCUCAUUGUGGGGGAUAACGCAGCGAAAGCUGUGCUAAUACCGCAUAAUCCCUAAGGGGGAAAGCGGGGACCGUAAGGCCUCGCGCAAUUAGAGCGGCCGAUACCUGAUUAGCUAGUUGGUGAGGUAAAGACUCACCAAGGCAACGAUCAGUAGCUGGUCUGAGAGGACGAUCAGCCACACUGGGACUGAGACACGGCCCAGACUCCUACGGGAGGCAGCAGUGGGGAAUUUUGGACAAUGGGGGCAACCCUGAUCCAGCAAUGCCGCGUGAGUGAAGAAGGCCUUCGGGUUGUAAAGCUCUUUUGUCAGGGAAGAAACAGCAGCUCUAACGCAGUAUGCGAAUGACGGUACCUGAAGAAUAAGCACCGGCUAACUACGUGCCAGCCGCCGCGGUAA